AAUUAGGGCACGCUUCGAGUAGGUUCUGAAACGCAACACAGUUCUAAGGGGAAGCAUAGCGAGUCUGCGCUCCAACUCUGGAACUCGGUUCUCUUCUUCUCUUCUCAACCACAGUGUUGAGAAUCGGAACCUAUCCAUCUUCUAUCCCCCUAUUUAUAUCGGUGUAUCGGCGCGUGCCGUAGUUUAAACCUAAGUUCUGCUCCGAAUCCACCUUUCUCCGCUUGUGGGUUCUCGUUCGCAAUCUCCGUCACACACACUCUUCUCUCCGUACGGAAACGAUUGCCAUCAGAAGAUGUCGGGAGGUUUCUUUCGAGGCACAUCUGCGGACCAGGACACUAGGUUUUCGAACAAGCAAGCGAAGCUAAUGAAAUCACAGAAGUUUGCACCGGAAUUGGAGCAUCUGGUGGACAUGACGAAGGUGAAUAUGGAAGUAAUUAAGCCUUGGGUCACCAGAAGGGUGACCGAGUUUCUUGGUUUCGAGGAUGAAGUGCUCAUUAACUUCAUACACAGUCUUCUGGAUGCUAAGGAAGUGAACGGGAAGGAAGUUCAAAUACAAAUAACUGGAUUUAUGGAAAAGAACACUGGAAAGUUCAUGAAAGAACUUUGGACACUUCUUCUCAGUGCACAGAAAAAUGCCAGUGGUGUUCCUCAGCAGUUCUUGGAUGCCAAGGAAGAAGAACUUUUGAAGAAGAAGGCUGAAAAUGAUCGGAUAACCAGUGAAAUUCAGAGGAAAAAGGAUAAGGAAGGUAGAGAUAUUUUGGAAGAGAGGUUUAAGAAACUGGACGGUGGAUUUGAUUCCAAGGAUAAUGAUACUGCUUCAGCUCCAAAUUCAAAGUCGAAGGAUUCAGGAUAUGAUCGAGAUGGAAAGGAACCUGAAAAGAGGAAUGGUGUCAGGUCAAGGAGCAGAGGCUCACCCUCAAGGUCAAUGAGCAAAUCAUUUUCAAAUUCCCGAAGUUAUUCAGGUGGUAGACACAGGUCAAAAAGUAUGUCUAGGUCUCCAACAGGUCGAGGACGCUCUCUUUCUUUUGAAAAGAUUCACCGUUCUCCACGAAGACGAUCUAUUUCUCCUCAUAGGCAUUCACCACGACGUUCUCCCCAUAGGAGGUCACUUUAUUUGAGGAGAAGAUCCGGAUCUCGCUCAAGCUAUAGAUCUCCUACCCCUAUACGGCGUAGAAUUCAUUCUCCAGUGCAUCGAAGUUCACCUUCUUAUCGACGUCGGAGGUCACCUUCACCAACAAGACGACGAAGGUCACCUUCACCAACGCGACGACGAAGAUCACCUUCUCCAGUGCGACGACGUUGGUCACCUUCUCCAGUGCGACGACGCCGGUCUCCUUCUCCUGGGAGAAGACAUAGAUCUCCUUUGGUGCGACGACGUAGAUCUCCGUCUCCUAAUCGUCAUCAUAGAUCACCGUCCCUUGGUCGUCGUCAUAGAUCACCAUCCCCAGGGCACAGACAUAGAUCCCCAUCACCUCUUGGAAUGUGGAGAUCACCCGGUCAUAGACAUAGAUCACCAUCACCUCUUGGACCACGAAGAUCACCUUCACCUAGACGACGAAGAUCACCUUCACCUAGACGACGAAGAUCACUUGUCACUCGACAUAGAUCACCUUCUCCAGUGCGUCGAGUUCCACCAAUCAGUGCUCGGAAUAGAUCAGAAUCUCCCAUGCAAUCCCCCUCCCCCAAACAACGAAGGUAUGGUAGUAGAACUCCUCCACACUCACCAUCCCCAUUGCGACACAGAUCACCUAUUCCUAGCAAGAAUAGAUCUCCAAGUAUCUCCCCUCAGAGGUCUGCUGGAGAUGAAUGGAGUUCUCAGUCUCCAAUACGACAUGUUUCAACCUCUCCAAAUAGGAAAAGUUCUCAAAGACAACAAAGAAGUCCCAUACAGUCUUCUAUAAGGAGAGUCAGGAGUAGCCCUGUGGGGUCUGUAGGAAGAGGCAAAGCUUUGAAAUCGCAAGAGUCAAUGUCCACUCCGGAGAAAUCUCCAAAUCGAUCUGUAUCUGCAGAAGCAAGGAGUGAGACCAGCAGUGAAGGUAGAAGUCCUCAUGGGAACACUAUGAAACAAAGAGAAAAGUUAUCCAAUAAAAGAAGCUUGAGUCCUUUAAAGAAACAAAGAACCCAGAAAUCCAGCCAUGAAAGCCCACAGACUAGAGAUGAAGCAGAAGAAACAUACUAUUCCAGAGAAAGGAGGGAUCCUAAAGUAAACUCAUCCCAAAAGAUAGUAAGACACUCACCAGCUAGUACGAGAAAAGGUUCACCUGCAAAACAUGGUCAUGAGGAUGAGUUCUAUCCUGAGAGGGAUGCAGGUCAUCCAGCUUCUGAACAUAACAAUGAUUGGAGUAAGAAAGACCGGGAAAUAAAAAGGGAUAAGUCUUCUGGAAAAGGCAAUGAAUUUCUUUCUCAACAAAAGCCCUCUGUUAACAAGGAAACUUUUUCAAGAGAGAAGCCUCGUGAAUCUUAUGCUGUAGAUAUUAAAAAAUCAGGUGACAAGGACCAAUCCCGUUCAAAUUAUGCCAAAAGUAGUGAUCGGCACCACAAAUCAGAAGCCACUCCAUAUUUAUUUGGAAGAGAUGAUAUUGGCAAUCAGAGUGCUUCACAUGAUUCUGUUUCUGAGGAAAGUGGUAAGCAUAGACGAGAGGGCAAGGACAGGAAAAGGCAUAAAAGAUCUGAGAAAAAAUAUGCGUCUUCUGAUGAGGAUUAUAGUUAUGAUUCUGAGAUAGAGGACAGGAAAGAGGCUAAGAAGAGGAGAAAGGAGGAGAAAAAGUUGCGGAAGGAGGAUAAGCGUCGAAGACGGGAAGAUAGGCGUCGCAGAAGGGAAGAACGGCGUGCAGAGAAGCUGAAGCUGAAAAGUAAAACAGACAAUAUUUCAGAUGACGAGGAAGCUGAACGAGAUUAUCAUCAAAGUGAUGGUGAAGAGACACCAUCUGAGCAAAAGAAGCUUGAGAUUGAAUUGCGGAAUAAGGCUCUUGAAUCCCUCAAAGCAAAGAGGGGAAUGAAUAAUUAAAUGCAUCACCUUUGAGUUUUUAAGUUGUUUUAUUUAAAAACUUGAGAAAUAUCUUAGUUUGUUUAGGAACUUCCCAUUUACAAAUGUUAUGUUUGUUUAUUUUUUGGUAAAUGUUUGAUGUUAUCUAUCUUUAAUGCUGGCAGCGGAAAUGGAUAAAUGACGCUUACUGAGCAAAUCUGUUGAGUACAACUCUAUGCAGACAUUGCCCUAUAUUUACUGAUGAAUUUUAUGUCAACUCUAGAUGACCUGGUGAGAAGACCAUGUGCAGAUCUUUAUUUUGAACUUCAAUUCAGGUGAAGUAUUCAUUCUUUUAGCCAUUUUUCUAGUUCUAGAAGAGCAUUAUAGGUAAAUCUGUUGUAUAUAACACAGGUGGUUCUUUACCGCUGUAUAUUUUUCAUGAUUAACGUUGGCAUCUCAGGAGUUAUUUCUGGGCUGUUUCCCGGAGUUAUUCCUUGAAAGUAUUUAUUGGGUCCAUUGAGUUUGAUGUAGCUGUAUGCUUUGUUGUACAAAUAUGUGGUCGUUUACCUACUUUGGUUGUGUGCAAGAAGUUGGCGAUAUCUUUUAAAGUAUUACUCUCUUGUGGGUCGUA